rnacentral:lncRNA from 1 species
CCCCGCGACCUGUGGAUCGGAAGACGAUGGAUGAUGGCGAUCCAUGGCGAGGCGGACUCGAGGAGGAAGAGGAACUCUUCCUCACUACUCCACUUGCCAAAAUUGACAUCCAUCUCUGAUCUCCAAUCCAUGAGGUGAGACGCCGGUGAGGUGACGUACGAUGGAGCUCCUGUGCUAGAUCAUCAGUGCGUAUACGUCAAAGGAGGAUCCGAGUGACCUUUUAAAUUCCUGAUUGGUGAGAAUUAUUAAGCAGAUAACAAAAAUAACGAAGCAACUGGUAUCAGUAUGUAUAUUUAAGGAAUGAAUCAACGGAAAAUGAUGAGAAGAGGAUAGUACAGAUAACUGAACUUUUUCAGCAUGUUUGGUAUAGCCCAUGCUGUGUGUGUGUGUGUGUGUGUGUGAGAGAGAGAGAGAGAGAGAGAUGCAUUGCAGAGGGAAAAGGAAAUGGAUAAACAUUGCUGCUGGUGAGAAUAAACUACUAAGGGAUGUGGGGAAUUCAAUUGCAUGAAGAAAGCGGUUUGAUGCUGACGACGACCCUCCCUGGCGCAUAUUACCACUCCCUGCUGCAUCUGUCAUGUCUUGACCAGUACUACCUUCUAUCUCGUUGCUGCUUCAGCCGCCAGCCACACAAGUUGGAAACUAAAGAUUGGUCGAUGCGUCUCGAUUGGAUUCAGCGUGACCUGCUGUGCUAUCGACUAGAAAACUUCAAGAUUCUGAUGAUAAUAUGAGUUUUAUUGCGUGAAUGAAAAUUCAGAGAGAAAAUCGCACCGACAGAUACACAGUUGUCUUCUCUUUUGGUCAGAAUUAGCAUAUCAUCAGAACUGCUGUGCCUGGACCUUUGAUCCAACUUGGGCAGUCAACAACUUAGAUGGUGGUGCUGAUAACUCUGUCCCUCUACAUCUGUUCUUCUUCUUUUGGAUGGACAGUGAUCACAUCACACACAGCAGAUGCAUGCAUUUGGGUCAAAUUAUUAUGGCAGCAGCAGCAAGGUUGGAACCAAUGGGGUGAACUAGCUUGAAGAAAGAGAAGUGCAGGCAACUACAGCAGUAGUGGACAAACAACUGACAAACGACUAUGAACGAAAGAAGGAAUACGAAAAAUACUGGAAAAGGCCGGCCGGGCCGGCUACAUACGUAGGUAGAUGGAGGAUCACAAAAGUCCUCUCGUGAUUAUCCGGCGGAGUGCGUGUUCGAUCUGCCCCACACGUGCAAGCAAGACCGGCAUAUCCCACUGCACAUCCGAUCCCUUUGCCCCUGCCUACACGGGUCUAUAUCCGAUCCCUUCAAUUCGCCCAGUCUCAGUGAGAUCAGAUCAGGCAGCUGCCUGCCUGCAGAUACUACUGUGUCGUAGAACAACAGGGUCUGACGUGUGUUCAUGCAUGUGUGGUCGCAACUGGCGAUCGAUCGAAGAUGUUGAUGGAUCAGGCGAUGAGAAAGCAGCAGCAACUAAUAAAUGGAUGACAAGUUGCUAUAUCUGCUCAAGAGCUGGUUGGCGGCAGUUCCUUUCCUGGUGCGGUAGAUUGUGGCCCUACGUAGCAGUUCCAUACAGGUUGCAUUUUUCAUUCUCUCUCUCUCUUUUUUGGGAGAGAAAUGCAGAUGCAUGUCGAUCUGUACGCAUGGGCGGGCAGCUCCUUUUGACCAGCAGGCAGCUGGGGUGGGACAUGGCAUGGUCGCUUCGCUUCAGUGGACACGCUCCCAGAGCAGUGCUGUUGCACUCAACGGAAAAGCUUCUGAUAGCUUCAUUCAUUCAUUCAUUCAUUCCUCCUCUUCAAUCAACCUUGAAGAGAAAUAGAGAGAGAGAGAGAGAGCAUCAUCAGCUCAACCUGCACACAUUAUAUUGGACGGCCUUGGCCUACCUUAGCCACAAGUUCAGCUUCUGUUUUCAUUUUCUUUUUAAUUAAUCUCUGGUGCGGCCGCCAUUGCUUUCUCUUUCUUCCUCCAAUCCUCCAUAUAGAAAAAAAAAAUGAGCUAGCUAGGCUGCUGUUGCCUGGGUAGUUAAUAAAGUAGAGGUUGACAGACAAUAACAUGUUGUAUGCCUGUUGCAAUAAAAUAUGUGCACUUCUCAGGAAAUCUUCCAAGUCAUUAUCCGUCUAUAAUAUAAUUUAAUUGUCAAUUUGACAUGUUUUGGAAUUUAAAAGUCAGGAAUAUAAUGUCACUAGGGAUCGGAGCGGGUACAUAAAUAAAGAAACCAAAUGAUUGUGUUCCACUAGGCUGCAGGUUGUUUGUGAUGUAUGAGUAUACGCGAGGCAGCCGUCUGCGUGCUUUAGCCCAGACCAAGCAAGAGCAAAGCAACCUGCAACCCCCAGCUAUAAAUAAAUUAGAAACUAAAAAGCUUUGCUGCCGACAAUUACUGUCCCACUUUGAUUUGAUUAUGUGGCACUUACUUUGACUGCUAGCUGUAGUAGUGACUGCCGUAAAAGUAUACGCUUCUGAUUCCGAUCCAGCAGGUUAGACGAUAAGCACGAACUGAACUGACCAGUGAUGUGCUAGCUGGUAAAGAAAACAGGCAUGUGCGUGAAAACAUGCAUGCUGCAUUAUUGAGGCAGCGUCGUCAGAUCACUGGCAGGCGGCAUACCGGCAGGUCAAGGCAUAUAUAUAAAAACUCCAUGGAAAUUAAAGAGAUGAACAACCCAUCGAUGUUUGCCACUUCGCUAUCAUGGUGCGCUUUGAAAACCUUACUCUUUUCUUUUUUGAAAGCAAGAUGCAUGGUAUACUACUAAUAGUAAUCUUCUUGCUUGAAGAGGGAGGUUUAUAUAUGAAUAAUAAUAUGUUUAGUGGGAGAUAAUUGCUGUGUGCAUGAUGUUUAUCCUUUUUGAGAAGGAUGGCAGUAUGUGCUGGGCGUUGAUCCACCUGGUGAUCCGAUCCUUCGCCACCAAGCUAGGUAAAUCCAGGUGAUUUGGAUAGGAGAUGGUCGUCCACCUCGCUACGACGCAACCUGGGUACCUUCCGUCAGAGCAUCGGGCAUUGUUCGUUGUCAUGGUCGAUCUAUCAGUGCAAGGUACGUAUGUGAAAGGAAGGACUGCGACCUGGAAAACUUUCACUCGAUCGAUUGCUCAGUAAAUGCAUACAUGGCGGAUUGGUACAUAUACAACCAUGAUCAUCGAUCAAAUAGUGAAAAGCACUCGGCGGCUUCAUCACAAAUAGUUGCGAGAGGAAUCGAUAUGAUCAUCACAUCUGCUCAUACAUGCAUACAGGAGAAAGCAGGUGGAAGCUAGGGCUAGGACGAAGUUGUGUAAAGCUUGCAGCAGCAGGUAGAUGUGUGACGAUGUGGUAGUGAGAAGUAGGGCAGGUGCAAGGUGGCAGUGGGAGAAAAUGACGGCCGGAUCCGUGGGCCGGGGUAGGUUGCGGUAAUUGUCAACGUGAUGCAAAUCGAAAAGAAGAAGAUCUGGCCCAUGGAUCGCCUGGUUUGUGGCCAACCAGGUGUCCGCCGUGGGAUCGAGAGCACCAGCUGCACGUGCAUUAUAUAUGCGUAGCCAUCGCUGCAUGCACACGCACACACGCUACGGCACUCCUCGAUCGUCUCCUCCAAGCAUAUAUAUACUUGCAGAUGGGAUUGCUCGUCGUGUUGGAAUUUCUUCAUGCUGCUUCUUUUGCCCGAAAAGGACGUGAUGAUCUCGAUAUGGGGAUGAUAUGACUCGACACGUACGGACGACCGGAUCUAGCAACCACUACAAGAAACUAUUUAAUAUGUGACGGAACAAAUUUAUCAAAUCUCGUUAAAAAACCGUCAUAAAGUAGUGUCGCUCCCGCGCCGCCUUGCCUCCGCUGCCUGCAGCUGCCGUCGACCUCUCUCCUCCUCUGAGGCUAUUGACCAUUAGAACUCCCGAAACCCGAACCCUGAACCCUAACCCUAACCUUAAGUACCACCGACCUCGACCACUGCCCACGGCCGGCGGUGACGUUGCCGUUGAGCUGCCCCCGCUCACCUUCCACCCCUCCGGCAAGCUUCUACCCCAGCAACAGCGCGUCACGAGCGAGGCGGCGGUACAUGAAGAAGAAGGCGAGGCGCGUGAGGAAGAUGGAGAUCGUGCGGCCAGCGGUGACCGCAUGAAUAUCAAAGGUCUUCCAUCUUCCGGAAGAUGUAUAGGUUUUCUGGACGUGGAGGAAGAAGAAGUGUGGGGGGCCACCUAGCAGUGCGGCGGAGGAACCUACAACUUGUGCGAUCCAUCGACUUGCACGCAGUCGGGCACGCGACCUGCAACUGCUGUCUGGGCCGCGCACCAAUCACACACGCGUUUGGGGAUUUGCUGCUGGGCCUUGUAACGACCACGGCCUGACUCGCGUAUAGUGAUGGGCCGGCGGCCUAACGGUCUGCUUUUCUAAUGGACCAUUCCUUUCUUUCUUGUGCACACAUCUUUUGGGCCAACAGGAACCAUACGUGGGCCAAAAUUGUCUUCAAAAGAGAUUCCCUGUUCUUGCUUAUUGCUUCUUUCAAAGUGGGCGAACUGUGUGGAUCAAAAAAAAUUGCAGGCCAAUUCUGUAGCAGUAAAUCUCGUGAGCAUGAACUGUUGGACGAUUGGAAAAUUUUUAUUUGAUUUAGUGAUAGAUAUUUUCGAUUAAUUCUCGUAUCUUCACACGGAUCUGAAAUCCUCCCCUAACGAAGAUUUGUAUAUGCAUUAUUUUCUCAAUCAAAAUGUGACAAUAUCUAUACGCACACGUUCCAUUAAAUCCUUCCACCUGCCAAAUGGAUCCACACGCACCCUCUUGAUUGCCACUUGGCAAAGACCAGAAUGCCUUAGCAUGGAAGGAAAACCGCACCACGGUCAACUCAUCGGACGCGGACUGCAACAGCCACGGCGGCACCUUCUCACCAAACAAGCUCUGCACCGUCCGCGUGUCAUCGACAGUUGGGGCCACGCCUGCGAAGGCGACCACACCAAUACAGAGCAUGACCCGGCGGGUGCGGUCGCCGGGGCGGCUCCGGCACUCCUCGGUCCUAACGCAGGCCGCGCCUACCAUACCCCAGCCUUCAUCUCGAUCGGUCAGCACGCCACAGACCUGUAGGGGGCGUUUGCGUAGCCUGGCUCGUAUAUGGGAGCCAGGCUCAGCGAAUGCAACAACGGUCCAAUUGGUAAUUGGUUGCUUGUACGCAUCCAACCAGGCUGUGGGUAGGCUGCUGGUAGAAUAUGUUUUUUUUCGCACGAGAAGCGUCGCAUGAGAUGAAAAAAUUCAAGACAAGUAGAAUAUGUUUGGUUGCUCGCACGCAUGAGAUGAAAAAAUUCAAGGCAAGUAUCAUAAUAAUAUUUAUUUUGUAUAAAUAUAUUAUAAUACCUCUUUGUUUACAUUAUCAAAUUUUAAUGAGCUUCAGAAAACACUAAUAUUACUUAAUGUAUACUAAUCACGUACUAAUACCGUCAUCAGCUGUAAGCCAACUCGCAUGCAGCGAGCCAGGCUCGCGGGAAACGGAAACGGAAACGAAACUCGUUUCCUGGAGCCAGGCCGAGCGUGCUCUUUUGCAUGCACCGGGACAGGCCCAGGUCUCCGUACAGGCAACACAGCGUGAAGUUGCAUGCUACCAGCUUGGUUGGAUGUGAUGCAGCUAACCAACGCGCCCUUGACCACCCACUGACGGGCUGACCCACGGGACGGUGUACAGGCCAGCCACGUCAUCUCUAGCCGGUACGCGGCGGCGGUGGUGCGCGGCCUGCAGCUGAUAGAUGGACGUCGAUGGGCUGCAGUUGAUAGAUAGGCGCUGCAGACCACUGCCGGCCGGCUUCAUUCCUCGCGCGCUAUAAAAGCCGGGGCAGGGAGCGAGGCCAGUCACAGACAUCCUCGGAUCGGAUCAGCCGCGCCGGUCCCCAUUCCCCACCUCCCUCCGUGGCUUGAGCUUCUGGAAGCGAAGCGAAGCACCAUGUUCGGCCACCACCACCACGGCCACGAGCACGGCGGCAACCAGCCCCCGCCGCAGGACCAGACGCUGUUCAAGAUCUUCUGCCGCGUCGACGAUGGCUACUGCCUCACCGUGCGCCACGACGCCGUCGUGCUCGCGCCCAUCAACCCGCGCGACGAGUUCCAGGUAUUACGUCCUUGAUUUCUCUGAUCGAUAGAUCCAUCUGUGUUCACGUGCUCAUGAUUUUGCUUUCUUAUGCAUGCAGCACUGGUACAAGGACAUGAGGCACAGCACCAAGGUGAAGGACGAGGAGGGCCACCCGGCCUUCGCGCUCGUCAACAAGGCCACUGGACUCGCCAUCAAGCACUCGCUCGGCCAGUCCCACCCGGUAAAGCCACUACUAGUGUUCUCUACUUGCUCGACGAUCACCAAGGAGGAGAUCCAUGCAUUCUGAGUGAUUGCAAUGAUGCAUGCAGGUGAAGCUGGCGCCGUACAACCCUGAAUACGAGGACGCGUCGGUGCUGUGGACGGAGAGCAAGGACGUCGGCAAGGGCUUCCGCUGCAUCCGCAUGGUCAACAACAUCCACCUCAACUUCGACGCCUUCCACGGGGACAAGGACCACGGCGGCGUCCACGACGGCACCACCGUCGUGCUCUGGGAGUGGUGCAAGGGCCACAACCAGAGCUGGAAGAUCCUGCCAUGGGGCGACGAGGCCUACGCACCGCCGCCGCCGCCACCGGCCUACGGCGCCGGCAGUGGCUACGCGUACCCGGGAGGCAGCCGGGGCCCGUACCCGCCUGGGCACCAGGAGCCUGGCUACGGGUACCCUCCCCCGCCGAGCGGCCCCGAGGGCUACGGGGCCCCGCCUGCCCACCAGGAGCCCGGCUACGGCUACCGCCCCCCGCCCGGUGGCCCAGAGGGCUACUACGCGCCGCCGCACCACCACCAGGAGCCUGGCUACGGCGGCUACCGCCCCCCGCCGCCGGGGAACACCGCCCCGGGAUACGGCGGGGAGUACGGGUACAGCAACCUGCCCCGUGCGCUGGCGUCGGAGUCCACCGUGCGCGUCUACUGCAAGGCCGGCGACGGGUACAGCCUGACCGUAAGGAACGGCAACGUGUGCCUUGCACCAACCAACCCCAGGGAUGACUUCCAGGUACUAGUAGCUAGAAUGUUUUGAUUAUUUGUCAUGAUACAGCCUGAUCAACGAUGGUGAUCUGACGAUUAAUAUUGUUCUGUUCCAUAGCACUGGGUGAAGGACAUGAGGCACAGCACCAGCAUCAAGGACGAGGAGGGGUACCCGGCGUUCGCGCUGGUGAACAAGGUGACCGGCGAAGCCAUCAAGCACUCCCUGGGACAGAGCCACCCGGUAUGUGCAUUUGCAUUUGCGUUGCAUUGUUGUCAGUUCGACCACCAAACAGUUAGUCUGUUUCAUGUUAGGUCGCUAGCAAUCUCGUCAGUCAGUGUAGUGGUUGGCACGUACCUGUCUAUCUUUACACGAUUUCCUGAUGGGCGUCACACCUCACACGUACGGUGUUGAAUUUAGUACACUAGUUGAUGUAUCUGAAGCAACGCUACCAGUAAUCCAACAACUCCAUAUCUGAUGUUGAUGAUGAGCGACGUACAGGUCCGCCUGGUGCCCUACAACCCUGAGUACGUGGACGAGUCGGUGCUGUGGACGGAGAGCCGCGACGUCGGCCAGGGCUUCCGCUGCGUGCGCAUGGUGAACAACAUCUACCUCAACUUCGACGCCUUCCACGGUGACAAGGACCAUGGCGGCGUCCACGAUGGCACCACCGUCGUGCUCUGGGAGUGGUCCAAGGGCGACAACCAGCGCUGGAAGAUCCUCCCCUGGUGUAAGCAUCACAUUGGAGUAGUCCUGGCUUCUUAAUUUUCAUCCUCGGAAUCUCCGAUCCCUUCACUAAUUGGCUGGCUUGUUUGUUACGCAGAGAUGAAGCCAAGCGUGACGUUGAGAGGACCGGCCAGAGGAACCUUGCUGCUGUUGUCUUGCCAUCCGGCCGCUUCUUCAUGUUGAUCGAGUCGUCGUCGUUCUAGUAUCUUCUUCGCAUUAUCGGUUUUCAAUAAAAGCUCCCCAGCAGCGACGAUGUCAUCAGAUCGUGUCGCUCUUCCCUGCUGGCUUUAGUUUCUGUUUGGUCUUCUCCUUCUGAAAGACAUGAAUUUGAGGAUGUUGAUGAUGAGUUUCAGACUUGCCGAUUCGUGUCGCCUAUGCAUGUACCUGUCUAUCUCCUCCUUAAAGACAUGCAUUUGAGGAUGUUGAUGAUGAUCUUGCGUUCUCUUGUUUUUCAUCUGACCGUGACACGCGCCUAAUAAUACUGUGACUAGGUGAACAGUAUACUAAUACUACUUGAUAGUAAUGCGUUGAUGCGCAGCGUUGAUGCGCAGCGUUGAUUCUGAUGUUGUUGGUGGCAUAGGACGAAAGGGACUUUACCUUGUCAAUUUCCACGGCGCCCAGCACGUACUACUGUUCUACGCCUCUGUAUUCUACUAUAUCAAUCCAAUCCUUAACGCCUAAGCAUCUCAAGUCUGUCUUGGCUGCUGGAAUUAAGGCCUGGUUUGGUUCACUGGCUUAAAUUUAAGCACCUGUCACAUCAAAUGUUUAGAUACUAAUUAGAAGUAUUAAACGUAGACUAUUUACAAAAUCGAUUACAUAAGUGGAGGCUAAACGGCGAGAUGAAUCUAUUAAGCCUAAUUAGUCCAUGAUUUGACAAUGUGUUGCUACAGUAAACAUUUGCUAAUGAUGGAUUAAUUAGGCUUAAUAGAUUCGUCUCGCCGUUUAGCCUCCACUUAUGUAAUGAGUUUUGUAAAUAGUCUACGUUUAAUACUUCUAAUUAGUAUCUAAACAUUCGAUGUGACACGUGCUAAAAAUAAGCAAAGUAACCAAACGGGCCCUAACAAUGCAGAUGCAUUGUUUACAGGUAACCAAAAAAUAAUCCUCUGACAACUUACUCCUUGAGGAUGCAGACCUGCACAUGACUGACAAGAUAAAUAAGCAGGUAUGCCAAUGCGAGGAAGACGACCCGUGUGCUAUGUUCUUUGUUAAUGAAAGAAAUACUGCACUUAUCGACGUCAAGAAUUAUCAAAUCCUAUAUAAGACGAGCGAGGUACCAAGCUAGAGUUGGUGAUCCGCACUGAUACGUUUGUGCUAUCAGAUUAGAUGGAGACUGCAAAGUUGUAGUAGCUGGUAGGACCUGGCCUGCCUACCUCAUACGAUCUGGUCUGAUCGGCGCCCAAGCACUUGACAGCACGUUCUUCUUCCAAGUCAAAUUAGUUGGUGCCGCUGAAAUGCUCAUCGAAACAACCUUCACCCAAUCACACCAGGACAACCAAAGUUGAGCAUUGCACUUGCACAGCAGCAACGCGGUGUCUUUUCCCAUCCUAGUUCCACAACGCUCAUAGGACAGACAUAGAUCACGAGCAGCGACUUUGGGGUGUUUGGUUCCACGGAUUAAGAUUUAGUCCCUGUCACAUUGAAUGUUUAGAUACUAAUUAGGACAACUAAAUAUGAGCUAAUUAUAAAACCAAUUGCACAGAUGGAGGCUAAUUCACGAGACGAAUCUAUUAAACCUAAUUAAUUCAUGAUUGUGCUAAUGAAUUAGUCUCGUGAAUCAUGAUUGUGCUAAUGAUUGCACGAUCAUGAAUUAAUUAGGCUUAAUAGAUUCGUCUCGCGAAUUAGUCUCCAUCCGUGCAAUUGGUUUUGUAAUUAGUCUAUGUUUAAUACUCCUAAUUAGCAUCCAAACAUCCGAUGUGACAGGGCCUAAACUUUAGUUCGUGUAACCAAACACCUCCGUGAACAACCGCUGAGGUCCCGUUUGGAUACUCCCCGCUAAAGUUUAGCACAUGUUACAUCAGAUGUUUGGAUGCUAAUUAGGAGUAUUAAACAUAGAUUAAUUAUAAAACUAUUGCACAGAUGGAGACUAAUUCGCGAGACGAAUCUAUUAAGCCUAAUUAGUUCAUGAUUUGACAAUGUGGUGCUACAGUAACCAUUUUGCUAAUGAUGGAUUAAUUAAACUUAAUAGAUUCGUCUCGCGAAUUAGCACAGGGUUCUGCAAUUAAUUUUAUUUAGCUCAUGUUUAGUCCUCCUAAUUAGCAUCUGAACAUCCGAUGUCACACUGCACCCCCAGAUUGUGAAAGGUAGUAACUGCGAUCCACAGAACGUUGGUGUGCUCGGCUGGUGACGCGCCCAGAUUUCACGCAAAUCAAUCAGCCGUUACUCUCCACAAGGCAGGUUUCAAAAUUUCACACGUUUCCGUGGGUUUGGAGUAGUUUGGGUUCCAUGUAUAAUCAGCUCAGAGAGCCAAGGCACUGUAAUAAUCCCAUCCGUUGUGAACCACACAGAGAUAGCGAGCUUGUGCACUUUUUACCUACAAUGGAGUACUAUGAUGAAAUAAUUGAUGCACGGCUACUAUGAUGACAUCAGGAGCUGCUAACCUCCUUUGCUAAAGGUAUCAUGAGUUGGUGAUCCACAUCGACACCUUUUCUGCUUCGAGAUGGACACACACACGUCUUUGAUCGGGAUUUCGAGUUUUGGACAGGGAGAACGCAUUUGGCAAUCCAGGCCUUUGUCUAGCGAAGCAAACUGCAAACCUACCUGAUGUGCAUGCCACCGUCCAGAUAAAACCUGCCAAGCUUUGCAAACAUACUAGAGCAAGUUCUUGAAGAGAGUUGUUGGUGUGGUGCCCAUGGGAAUUUGGGAUUACAUACCAAAAACCCCACCUAACCGCACCAGGACAACAAGGUUUACCAUCACAACGCGUCGUACCUUUCCCAACGCUCACUGGAUUACAGGACACAUAGCACGAGCAGUGAGUCAGUGACUAGUGAUGUUACUGAAUGAAGUCAUUCAGGCCUCAUUUGCAGCUUACAGGACAAAUUUCACCUACUCCCACUGGUAAAAGUACUGGCGGUAACUGGUCGCAGCAAUGGCAGAGCGAGCUGGAGCGGUUCACUCUCUCAUCAUGAAAGUAGGAAACUGCCUGCACCAACCAACGUUACUGGACUCCGCUGACGACGCGCCCAGCCACCAGGUUUCACGCGGCGGACCAGCCGUUGCUCGGUUGCUCCGCGCAACGCUCCAGAUGUUCGGAAUCCUUCACCUGUUUUUGUUGGACGCGGUAGUUGAGAGUUCAAACUUGAGGUCGAAAUGGCUCAAACUUCAUCCGGAAAAUGGUUCAGAGUUGGCACAGAGCAAGGCUAGUACUACAAAGCAAUGCUCACUUUUCUGUUCAGCAAAACGAUGCGAAUGGUGUCGAAAUUUUGAACAUUCUGAUCCAUUUCACAGAUAGUGACACUCGUGCAGGCAAGCUGACUGGCUGGAAGAUUCUUAUCAGGUAAGAGCCAGGGAAUGGGAGAGAUGUGCUCAUCGGAAUCGAACUAGGGAAUGGUGACGGCUUUUCAAUUUCGCUUGCUGAGUUCUAAGCUGGUUCCUUGUCCUUUUAACCGUGGCAAAUUACCGCUAAGCACUGUGCUUCCAACGUCGCCGUAUCAUUAUCUACGAUAAGCCUGGCACGUAGAUCGACACAGCAUACAGAGAUAAAGGUGCACAAGCAAGUGUCAUCCAUGAUCGGAGUAAAGUAGUCCGUUUCUGUUUCUAGUGUAACAGAAAGAGAGGAAGGUUACAAAAACCCAGCACAACUGGGGUGCAGUGCACCGCACCGGCAGGAAUCCCAGCCACCGUUGUUUUUGCGGGGAAUCAUACAGCGUCGGGUUCACGCGUCUAUCUGUGGCCACUGGUGGGUGCACAUCUUCGUUACAGCAUUUUUCUAGUUUCAAUCCAAGAAUUUUGCAAAGACAAGAAUCAAAUUUCCCUAUAUUGAAAAGAUGCAUUUUUUUUGGAAGGAAAGCCGCAUAUUGUCAUUCGCGUCGACUAAAGAAAAUUCUAUGCCAUGCGGCACCGAACAGCAUGGUCUCUGGUUCUCUGAAAAAAGAGCCCGGACGCUGUAGUUGAGCGAGCACAAAACUUCUGAAUUUUCGGUGCAAACCCGGGGAAAUGCUUUAGUUAGAAUCUGAGUAGAUGGAGUACUGACGACGUCAAUCUAAGAACUGAAGGGAAUGCUGACAGUGCAAUGAACUGUGCUCCACGAACCUGUCACAUACUCACAUCAGAGGCAGGCCACGCCAUCUGCAUAGCUAGGAUUGCUAAAAUGCAGCCAAGUGUAGGGUACUACUGGCACAACCUUGAAGCGUGUGAUUCACUGUUCCUUUCACAAUGGAUAUCCUGGCAUGGCAUGGCCAUCCCUCCUUUGCAUACAGCUAAUGCAAACAAAACAAAACGAAAUUUUGUUGCAGUAGCUGUGCUCCAGUAAUCCUUCACAUUAGAUUGAUGACCAUCCAGCCAGGCCUUCGCUGCACUGCAUGACACCUUCAGGAAGGGUAGUAAGGUUAGGUUCAUCGAACCAAAAAUCUGCCAGUACAAACUCCCAGAUUUCAAACGGCUAGAAUGCAAAACAUGACAAAAGUUUCUUCACCAAAUCAUGGUAAUCAGGGACUGUAAACACGCUUAUCACGAGGGAUCCAACGCGGAGAAUCAGUCGGGCCCCACUUGCCAGCGAGAGAGCCGGCAGUUUUUACUUUUUAACGCUAGCUGCCAAUUACAGGUAGUACAGUGUUUUACUGCCGAUGACUCAUUUCCUGGUCAUCCAGUGAGUCCAGGGCAGCCGUUAGGGACUUGGCCGCUGGCCUGCGCUAUAAAACGCGGCGGCGGGGCAGCGCCUCUCCUCGCACCUCAUCACAAUUCACCACAGCUCACACUCCACACCUGCCAACCGAAGAUGUCGUGGUUCGGGCACCACCACCACAACCAGCCGGCUCCCGCGGCGUCGGGCCCCAACCAGGUGUUCAAGAUCUUCUGCCGCGCCAACGAGAAUUACUGCCUCGCCGUCCGCGACGGCGCCGUCGUGCUCGCCCCCGCCAACCCCAAGGAUGACCACCAGCACUGGUACAAGGACAUGCGCUUCAGCACCAGGGUCAAGGACGAGGAAGGCAUGCCGGCCUUCGCCCUCGUCAACAAGGCCACCGGCCUCGCCAUCAAGCACUCGCUCGGCCAAUCCCACCCGGUAAGUAUUUACUUGUCUGUCUGUACAUGUUCAUCUACCAUCAGCAAGGAGAUGGAGAUCGAUUCUGAUUGCAAUCCGAUCGAUCCAUAUGCUGUAUGCAGGUGAAGCUGGUGCCCUUCAACCCUGCCGAGGAGGACGCGUCGGUGCUGUGGACGGAGAGCAAGGACAUCGGCAAGGGCUUCCGCUGCAUCCGCAUGGUCAACAACACCCGCCUCAACUUCGACGCCUUCCACGGCGACAAGGACCACGGCGGCGUCCACGACGGCACCACCGUCGUGCUCUGGGAUUGGUGCAAGGGCGAGAACCAGAGCUGGAAGAUCCUGCCAUGGGGCCCCGAGGCGCACUCCCCCGCCGCCGGGCCCGGGAACGCCUCCAUCGGCGGCGUCCCCGUGCACACCGUCCGCGUCUUCUGCAAGGCCGGCGAGGACUACAGCCUGACGGCGCGCAACGGCACGGUGUGCCUGGCGCCCUCCAACCCCAGGGACGAGUACCAGCACUGGAUCAAGGACAUGAGGCACAGCACCCGGAUCAGGGACGAGGAGGGCUACCCGGCCUUCGCCCUCGUCAACAAGGUCACCGGCGAGGCCAUCAAGCACUCCACGGGGCAGGGCCACUCCGUCAAGCUGGUCCCCUACAACCCGGACUACCAGGACGAGUCGGUGCUCUGGACCGAGAGCCGCGACGUCGGCGACGGCUUCCGCUGCGUCCGCAUGGUGAACAACAUCUACCUCAACUUCGACGCCUUCCACGGCGACAAGGCCCACGGCGGCGUCCACGACGGCACCGAGAUCGUGCUCUGGGAGUGGGCCAAGGGCGACAACCAGCGCUGGAAGAUCCUCCCCUGGUGUAAGUGUACAUCCAUGCCAUUGAUGCCCUGCCUUACAUCCUUUGAAAAUCUCAUGUUUUCCAAUCAAUGGUUGCUUGCGUUCGCAGAGAUCGAUGGAGACGGCGGAACCUGAUGGACUGGAACCAAGGAGCUGCUACCUAAUAAUAACCGAUUACUGCAGCGAUUGAAUAAACCGUGUGUUAUGUUGUAAUCGCGGAUUUCGGAGUUGUAUUUGCGUCAGACUGUCGGUCACAGUGUGACUAGUGUCCUGUCCCUUCUGUGAGCCUGGCCUUAGUGCCUCACCAUGUGAGGAGUGACCUGUAUUGUGGAGGAGUAGCCUCGAUCUGAUCCUGCAUUGUGGUGCGAUCCUUCUGGCUUUCUUUCGAUUUCCGGCGCCACAACUCUGUAUCAUCUCGUCUCCUUUGUUCUACUGAAUGAAUAUGCAUCUGCAUUCCGUUUCACCUAUCUUUGCGCUGGGGACCAACUCUGUUCCAUGGUCCACGUGAAACCCCCAGGUUGUUCGCGGAAAACUUUCUUUUUAAUAACAGAGCGCUGCAAACCGACGCCUGUGCAAAGCAAUCUUUUUAAAAAAAACUAAGCAGGAGCACUGCUGAUUCAUUUAAGAAGAAAGAAAUUCGAAGUUACAAAUAUUAUAUAAAUUGAUGAUCGCGCUGCUCUUAAACAUUAAAAUAAAUCAAACUGUGCCGGACAAAUGUCAGUCACGGUGGAACUGCAGCUUUCCUGGAGAUAUAGAUGUACAUUCGGGCCUCCCGGCGGUCCGGCACGGGCCAAGCAUGGCCCGUUCAUUUUCGUGCUGGGCCUGGCCCGUCACGACAACCCCAUCGUGCCAGGCCGGGCCAGCCCACGAGCCUCAGUCACGGCCUAGACACAGGCCCGUAGUGCCUUUUUCGUGCCGGGUCGACCCGAAUAGCCCGGUAUUUUUUACGUGUCGUGCCGGCCUACAGCCCGUUAAGAAAAAGACUUCACCGAAUGAACGUCUGAUUCAUAAUCUAACACUUUCAUUUGAACACAUAGAAAUUCAUCACAUUCAUCAGUUCAUCCCAUAUUCACAUUCACAUUCACAUUCACACAUAUUCAUCACGUGCAGGGAGCUGGGGAGCGGCCAAUUUGAGCGCUCGAGGUGUCGGAUCUGCCAAUUCGAGGCGUGGAGGCGCCGGAUCGGAGGAUUUGAGGUCGAGGGCUCGAGACGAGGAGGUGUCGGAGCAGGGCGGGACGCCAUGUUGCCGUCAGCCGUCGGCACCUCGAUGGGACUGCGGUCUGCGGGUGCGCCGGUGCGGGACAGGGGAAUGGGGGAGGACUGGAGGAGGAGGCGAUGGCCGCGAGUGGAGGAGGCGAGGAGCGGAGGAGGCGAGGCGAGGAGGCGGCUGGUGGAGGGGUAGGGUUUGCAGUUGCGAAGGGGAGGCCGAGGCCGGCGGGGGCAUAUAUAUGCCGGGCGCUCCCGAUCAUUGGUGGGCUACAGAGUUGGGCCGGCUUGACGGGCCGGCUGUUCGAUUUCAUGCCGGGCUGUGCCGCCCAUCGGGCCUAGGUGGCAGCCCACGCCUGGAACGAAGCAUCGGGCCGGGCUGGGCUUAGGAUGGGCCAAAAAUGAGCUUCGUGCUGGGCUGUCGGGCUACAGGCUGCAUGUACAUCUGUACCUGGAGAGAACUGGACGAGCUGGGCCUGCUCGCUCGGCUGCCAGCCCAAGUAUCUGCCGCAGCAGGCCCAUUACAUCCAGGUCCAGCCCCUGAAAGAUUGGCCUUCUGAAACAAGCAAAAUCUCGGUUUAUCUGGCCUAAAGCGGGCCCAACCAAACCGACUUGGAAUCGAAACUCAACAUGUUAAAGCAGGAAAGGAUCAAUAAAUGCUGCGAUCAGAGAAGCACAUUGUUUUUGCUGCGGUGAAGAGACGAGGAAAAAAAAUGUACUGCAGUGUUCGUUGUGCAGUUCUUCCUCAUGCUCUGUGCGCGCUUAAGUUUGUAGUCCUACUUUGCCUACUCUACCAAUUCAAGAAUCUAUGUUAUAAUCUGCGCAUUCUGAUUUUUUUUUUAUCAUUACCAUCUCUGUAUUAUUUUCUCCGAUCCAUAGCCCUGCUGCUGCUUUGGUGACCUGUUCUUCACAAAUAUCACUCCUGCUAUGUCGAAUCUGAAUUUCAAAUAAAAGUACUAGCUCAUUUCUUUUACAAGAAUAUUUCAGAAAAAUGUCCAGGAACUAUAAAGAAAAUAAUAUGUUUUCAAUAACUGUGGAAAAAUAUAUUAUGCAUCUACUUGAACGUUUGCGUAUAUUACGUGUUGAAAAAAAAAGGAAAAGAAAUCCAUGUGCUUCCCGGUGAAGCAUUUUUCUAAGAAAAAAAAGUUGAAACUGGGAGGGCCGAGGAAACGGAAUGGGCCUUCUUGUUUCCAAAGGAGAAAACUGGGCCAGUAUCCCUGAUGCAAAACAACUGCAAAUGUACGCAGAGUGCAGAUAACAGUAACGCGCAGCAUCUAGAAGGCACGUAAACCAGAAGGAAUACGUCGAUAACGAUUCGAGAUAAUCAUCAACGAAAAAUAUUCGAAUUCGCUGCUUAAUUGGAUCCCAUUAGUUUUUUUAUUCUUUGAGCAUUAUUACGUUUAAUUCCAGGCCUCCAGCUUGCGGUUAAGCACAACGCGUGCCCCUCCACAACUUUGUAUCCUCGCCGUCAAUAAUGGCCGCAGAGCAACGAUUCUUCUCAAAACGACUAGAAACGGAAUCACGCAAAGCUGGGCUGCUAGUGUCGCAUGGCAUCAUCCUUCCUGCCCAUGCACGCCCCCGUCGCUCGAUAGAUGCAGAUCGCCAUCGAUCACCUGCUACACCGCGCAGCGUGAUGCUAACGCCACGCACCCACAAUGCAGCGCCGCGACGCGAGAGCCCUAUAAAUCCCCCGUCCGUUGCCCUAUAAAUCAAUCACAAACAAGAACCACAACACAAGUGCUUGCUGCUAGCUGCUUAAGAAAAGAACCAGGCACACCAAAGAGAAAAGAGAGAUGGACUUUUACGGUGGUCGUGAGCGUUACGGCGGCGGUUACGGCGGCAUCGCGACGCCGGGGUACGCUCCGCCGGUGCCGUACGGGAUGUCGCAGGUGAACAUCGAGGGCAAGGGUUGCGGGCGCCCUCUGCCGCCGCAGCCGACGGUGAAGGUGUACUGCCGCGCCGACCCCAACUACGCGAUGACGGUCCGCAACGGCAAGGUGGUGCUGGCGCCGGCGAACCCCAAGGACGAGUACCAGCACUGGAUCAAGGACAUGCGGUGGAGCACGAGCGUCAAGGACGAGGAGGGGUACCCGGCGUUCGCGCUGGUGAACAAGGCCACCGGGGAGGCCAUCAAGCACUCCCUGGGGCAGUCCCACCCGGUGCGCCUGGUGCCCUACAACCCGGACUUCCUGGACGAGUCGGUGCUGUGGACGGAGAGCCGCGACGUCGGCAACGGCUUCCGCUGCGUGCGCAUGGUGAACAACAUCUACCUCAACUUCGACGCGCUCCACGGCGACAAGUGGCACGGCGGCGUCCGCGACGGCACCGAGAUCGUGCUCUGGAAGUGGUGCGAGGGAGACAACCAGCGCUGGAAGAUCCAGCCAUACUACUGAACAACUGAUCCAUCAGCUGCCUCAUCC